GAUCUGGAAUCAUUACAAUUUGUCUCAAGGACUGAGAGAUCACGAUGGAGAACGUGUUACAGUGCAUAUUCCUGGUCUUGCUUCAAUUUGGCUGGCUGCAUGGGAAAGAUGAGGUGGAGCAGAGUCCUGAGAGCCUGAGCCUCCAGGAGGGAGGCAGUGGCAGCCUCAACUGCAGCUACACCACCAGCAAUUUUGGAGGACUCCUGUGGUACAGGCAAGAUGCUGGGAGAGGCCCCACAUUCCUCUUCAUCCUGUAUUCAGCUGGGGAUGCAAAGCAGAAAGACAGACUAAGAGCUACAUUAUCAAAAAAGGGAAGUGUUUUGCAUAUCACCACUGCUAACCCUGAAGACUCAGCCACUUACCUAUGUGCUGUGUAUGCACAGUGCUCCCCAGGCAUCUGCUGGCUGCACCAAAACCCUGCAGCAGGACUCUGA